GUGCCAGCAGCCGCGGUAAUACGGAGGGAGCAAGCGUUACUCGGAAUUAUUGGGCGUAAAGGGCGCGUAGGCGAUUGUGCAAGUCUUUUGUGAAAGCCCCCGGCUUAACCGGGGAAGUGCAGAAGAUACUGCACAAUUUGAGUUCCGGAGAGGAAGGCAGAAUUCCCGGUGUAGCGGUGAAAUGCGUAGAGAUCGGGAGGAAUACCAGUGGCGAAGGCGGCCUUCUGGACGGAUACUGACGCUGAGGCGCGAAAGCCAGGGGAGCAAACGGGAUUAGAUACCCCGGUAGUCCUGGCUGUAAACGAUGUGUGCUUGGUGUGAGCCGGUUUUCGGUUCGUGCCGUAGUUAACGCAAUAAGCACACCGCCUGGGGAGUACGGUCGCAAGGCUGAA
rnacentral:rRNA from 1 species